AAGUUUCCCUCAGGAUAGCUGGCGCUCGGAGGAAAAGAAACAGUCUCAUCCGGUAAAGCGAAUGAUUAGAGGCAUUGGGGCCGAAACGGCCUCAACCUAUUCUCAAACUUUCAAUGGGUGAGAUGUCCGGCUUGCUUGAAACACGGAGCCAACGCGAUGCAGCCCCCUUUUCUGGCGGAGAGGGGGACCCGCUCGCCGCGGUCUGAAGCACGGACGUAGGAUGCGAGUGCCCAGUGGGCCACUUUUGGUAAGCAGAACUGGCGCUGUGGGAUGAACCAAAAGCCGGGUUACGGCGCCCGAUGCGGACGCUCAUCAGACCCCAUGAAAGGUGUUGGUUGCUAUAGACAGCAGGACGGUGGCCAUGGAAGUCGGAA
rnacentral:rRNA from 1 species